rnacentral:rRNA from 1 species
ACGAAAGUCUGACCGAGCAACGCCGCGUGAGUGAAGAAGGUUUUCGGAUCGUAAAGCUCUGUUGUAAGUCAAGAACGUGUGUGAGAGUGGAAAGUUCACACAGUGACGGUAGCUUACCAGAAAGGGACGGCUAACUACGUGCCAGCAGCCGCGGUAAUACGUAGGUCCCGAGCGUUGUCCGGAUUUAUUGGGCGUAAAGGGAGCGCAGGCGGUCAGGAAAGUCUGGAGUAAAAGGCUAUGGCUCAACCAUAGUGUGCUCUGGAAACUGUCUGACUUGAGUGCAGAAGGCGAGAGUGGAAUUCCAUGUGUAGCGGUGAAAUGCGUAGAUAUAUGGAGGAACACCAGUGGCGAAAGCGGCUCUCUGGUCUGUCACUGACGCUGAGGCUCGAAAGCGUGGGUAGCGAACAGGAUUAGAUACCCUGGUAGUCCACGCCGUAAACGAUGAGUGCUAGGUGUUAGGCCCUUUCCGGGGCUUAGUGCCGGAGCUAACGCAAUAAGCACUCCGCCUGGGGAGUACGACCGCAAGGUUGAAACUCAAAGGAAUUGACGGGGGCCCGCACAAGCGGUGGAGCAUGUGGUUUAAUUCGAAGCA